rnacentral:misc_RNA from 1 species
AAAAAUGUUUGCCCCUAUUUGCACAGUAUAGUUUUCCCACAAAGAGGAUUUAGUUGAACCCCCUUGGCUCUAUAGAGCUCUGCCCCUGUAAGUGCCUUAGUGCACAUUCUCUUAUCAGGUUCCAGCUGGACCAGUAUUACAUUUUUACCUUUGCUAGAUCAAAAAGAGGGUACAAUGGAACAACUAAAUUGGGAACUCAUUUGGUGCUUCAG